ACGCACGCUGGCGGCAGGCCUAACCCAUGCAAGUCGCGCGCCCUUUCGGGGGAGCGGCGGCCGGGUGAGUAACGCGUGGGAAUAUGCCCUUCUCUACGGAAUAGCCUCGGGAAACUGAGAGUAAUACCGUAUACGCCCUUUGGGGGAAAGAUUUAUCGGGGAAGGAUUAGCCCGCGUUGGAUUAGGUAGUUGGUGGGGUAAUGGCCUACCAAGCCGACGAUCCAUAGCUGGUUUGAGAGGAUGAUCAGCCACACUGGGACUGAGACACGGCCCAGACUCCUACGGGAGGCAGCAGUGGGGAAUCUUAGACAAUGGGGGCAACCCUGAUCUAGCCAUGCCGCGUGAGUGAUGAAGGCCUUAGGGUUGUAAAGCUCUUUCAGCUGGGAAGAUAAUGACGGUACCAGCAGAAGAAGCCCCGGCUAACUCCGUG
rnacentral:rRNA from 1 species